rnacentral:lncRNA from 1 species
ACAACACAUUAUUAAGAAGUUUCUAUAUACUACCAUGUGUCAAUUUUGUCUCCAUUCAAAUUUUUUUUUUUUUCUUGAAAUUUAGCAUUAUAAAAUACCUAACAAAUUUCAGGAUGGAGACAAAACUAAUACAUAUAUAAUAGCGAAUUAGAAACUUUCCAAAAUAUUAUCGUAUUAUGGGUGCGUUUGGUUCGCAUUAUAAAAGAUUAUUAGGAAUAAAAGAUAUCCGAGAAUUUUAUUCCUAUUCAUUCUAUUAUUAAGAAUGUGAAAUUCUUGUGUUUGGUUCGCACGGUAAUAUUAAUUAGCCAUAUUAUUUAAUAUUAAUUGCACAAAAUAUACAAUUAAUUAAUUUAUUUAUUUAAUUUUAGAUAAUGUUACCAAAAGUUUUAACAUCUUUUUAGAAAAAAUGGAGAGAGAGUAUAAGUUAGAGAGAGAGAGCAUAAUUAAAAAAAUAGAAAGAAAAAUAUAGUCGAAAUUAGAGGGAGCGAGAGAGUUGAAAUUUUAGAAAGAGAGAGAGAGAGAGAGAGAAAGCUUAGUUUAGAGAGAGAAAAAAAAAGUUAAAUUUUAGAGAGAAAAAUAAGUUUAGAGAGAGAUAUAAGGUUAGAGUGUAAAGAAAAAUAAUAUCAAUUAGCCGGCAGGUAGGAAGAAAGAAAGAGAUUAGAUAUAUUAUGAUUACCCCAAUCCAUUAAUAUGAGGAUACCCACCAUCUCUCAAGGGAAUGGGAUUAAUACUUUGGGGUGAAUCAUAUUCCCAAGUGAAUUUAAUAUUACCAACUAGAUUACUUAGUGCGUUUAGCUAAACACCGUUAUAUUUUUUUAUUCCCAUUGAAUUACUAGGAAUCUUUAAAAGAUAGCGCGAACCAAACGCGCCCUAUAGGUUAUAUUUUAGAAGUUGAUAUUACUUGGGAA